GAUGAACGCUGGCGGCGUGCUUAACACAUGCAAGUCGAACGGUGAACGAGGGAGCUUGCUCCCUCCGGAUCAGUGGCGAACGGGUGAGUAACACGUGAGCAAUCUGCCCUGGACUCUGGGAUAAGCGUUGGAAACGACGUCUAAUACCGGAUACGAGGCGUGGGGGCAUCCCCAACGCCUGGAAAGAACUUCGGUCCAGGAUGAGCUCGCGGCCUAUCAGCUUGUUGGUGAGGUAACGGCUCACCAAGGCGACGACGGGUAGCCGGCCUGAGAGGGUGACCGGCGACACUGGGACUGAGGCACGGCCCAGACUCCUACGGGAGGCAGCAGUGGGGAAUAUUGCACAAUGGGCGCAAGCCUGAUGCAGCAACGCCGCGUGAGGGACGACGGCCUUCGGGUUGUAAACCUCUUUUAGCAGGGAAGAAGCGAAAGUGACGGUACCUGCAGAAAAAGCACCGGCUAACUACGUGCCAGCAGCCGCAGUAA
rnacentral:rRNA from 1 species